AACCAUAGAAACCUGCGGAGUACCUGCGGAAGGAUCAUUACGAGAGUGUCACCACUCCCAACCCAUUGUUUACCUACCCGUCCACCGUGCUUCGGCAGGCAGCCCUGUGGGACAGAGCCUCGCCCCCUUUCGCGGGGGGUGCCUGCCGCUUGCCAACCAAAACUCUAGCUGUUUUAGUACCAUCUGAGUCUUCCACAAAUGAACAAAACUUUUAACAACGGAUCUCAGAUCGGAAGAGCA
rnacentral:misc_RNA from 1 species